rnacentral:rRNA from 1 species
CCUACGGGCGGCAGCAGUGGGGGAUAUUGCACAAUGGGGGGAACCCUGAUGCAGCGACGCCGCGUGGGUGAAGGAGUAUUUCGGUAUGUAAAGCCCUAUCGGCAGGGAAGAAUUUAGACGGUACCUGACUAAGAAUCCCCGGCUAACUACGUGCCAGCAGCCGCGGUAAUACGUAGGGGGCAAGCGUUAUCCGGAUUCACUGGGUGUAAAGGGAGCGUAGACGGCCAGGCAAGCCUGGAGUGAAAGCCCGGGGCCCAACCCCGGGACUGCUCUGGGAACUGUCCGGCUGGAGUGCAGGAGAGGUAAGUGGAAUUCCUAGUGUAGCGGUGAAAUGCGUAGAUAUUAGGAGGAACACCAGUGGCGAAGGCGGCUUACUGGACUGUAACUGACGUUGAGGCUCGAAAGCGUGGGGAGCAAACAGGAUUAGAUACCCGAGUAGUC